rnacentral:rRNA from 1 species
CCGGGCGCACGGGUGAGUAACACGUAUCCAACCUGCCGUCUACUCUUGGCCAGCCUUCUGAAGGAAGAUUAAUCCAGGAUGGCAUCAUGAGUUCACAUGUCCGCAUGAUUAAAGGUAUUUUCCGGUAGACGAUGGGGAUACGUUCCAUUAGAUAGUAGGCGGGGUAACGGCCCACCUAGUCAACGAUGGAUAGGGGUUCUGAGAGGAAGGUCCCCCACAUUGGAACUGAGACACGGUCCAA